CACUGAGAUGAUACAUGUUUUAUUUUAGAAGUCUGCUGCUAGUUUACUUGGUAUAUUUGCAAUUCAGUCACUAGUGAUUACACAACAAAGUAAUGACAUAAAAGCCUCUGUGUUUCUAUUUGCCUAUCUACAAGUAAUUGGGUACAAUUUUCCACGUUUCCUUGGCAGCAAUCCAAUAAAAUGCUUGGCAGCCAUCUAAUAAAAUGCAGUUUACAACAGCACCAUCUGUUUCUAUCAGUCCAGAAACAGCUGUUUCAUUCCAAUUAAUGCCUUUAGGCACUCUUCUGUCUCCUUCCCAACAUCAGUAUUUCAUAGUUUGCAUUGCAUUUGUGCUCUGACAG